rnacentral:rRNA from 1 species
UGCCAGCAGCCGCGGUAAUACGGAGGGGUCUCUCUUUGUUCGGAAUUACUGGGCGUAAAGCGCACGUAGGCGGAUUGGAAAGUUGGGGGUGAAAUCCCGGGGCUCAACCCCGGAACUGCCUCCAAAACUAUCAGUCUAGAGUUCGAGAGAGGUGAGUGGAAUUCCAAGUGUAGAGGUGAAAUUCGUAGAUAUUUGGAGGAACACCAGUGGCGAAGGCGGCUCACUGGCUCGAUACUGACGCUGAGGUGCGAAAGUGUGGGGAGCACACAGGAUUAGAUA